GACGAACGCUGGCGGCGUGCCUAAUACAUGCAAGUCGAGCGCUGAAGGUUGGUACUUGUACCAACUGGAUUAGCAGCGAACGGGUGAGUAACACGUGGGGAAUCUGCCUUUGAGCGGGGGAUAACAUUUGGAAACGAAUGCUAAUACCGCAUAAAAACUUUAACCACAAGGUUCAAGUUUGAAAGAUGCAAUUGCAUCACUCAAUGAUGAUCCCGCGUUGUCUUAGCUAGUUGGGUAGGUAAAGGCUCAACAAGGCAACGAAGCGGAGCCGACCUGAGAGGGGGAUGGGCAACACGGGAAUGGGGCCACGGUCAAGCCUCCUAGGGGGGGCAGCAGAGGGGAAUCUGCCGCAAUGGGCGAAAGCCUGCCGGAGCAACGCGGGGUGAGUGAGGAAGUUUUUCGGAUCGAAAACCUUUGUUAUUAGGGAAGACGAAGUGUGUAAGUAAAUAUGCACGUCUUGACGGUACCUAAUCAGAAAGCCACGGCUAACUACGUG
rnacentral:rRNA from 1 species